AGCGAACGCUGGCGGCAGGCCCAACACAUGCAAGUCGAACGAACUCUUCGGAGUUAGUGGCGGACGGGUGAGUAACACGUGGGAACGUGCCUUUUGGUUCGGAAUAACUCAGGGAAACUUGUGCUAAUACCGAAUGUGCCCUUCGGGGGAAAGAUUUAUCGCCAUUAGAGCGGCCCGCGUCUGAUUAGCUAGUUGGUGAGGUAACGGCUCACCAAGGCGACGAUCAGUAGCUGGUCUGAGAGGAUGACCAGCCACACUGGGACUGAGACACGGCCCAGACUCCUACGGGAGGCGGCAGUGGGGAAUCUUGCGCAAUGGGCGAAAGCCUGACGCAGCCAUGCCGGGUGAAUGAUGAAGGUCUUAGGAUUGUAAAAUUCUUUCACCGGGGACGAUAAUGACGGUACCCGGAGAAGAAGCCCCGGCUAACUUCGUG
rnacentral:rRNA from 1 species